GGCAGGAGGAUCGUUGUGAGUUCGAGACCAGCCUGGGCUACAAAGUGAGCUCAAGACCAGCCUGAACUGCAUAGCAAGACCCUGUCUCAAAAAGACAAAAAAAAAAAAAAAAUUAAAUUCAGAGAUAGAAAGGAGAGUGUUACCAGGGGCCAAAGGUAAGGGAGAAUGAAUAGUUAACCUCUAGUGUACAUGUAGUUUCACUCUAAGAUGAAAAAAAUUUCUGGAUAUGGGCACUGAUUGUUGCACAACAAAGGAAUUCUACUUUAUGUCACUGAACUGUAUACUUCAAGGGCAAGUUUGAUGUUGCAUGUUUACCAGGUGGAAAAUUUAUGAAAGAUUCACAAAGGCAAAUAAACUCUGAGGUCACAGUCAAAGCUCAAGACCAUAACAUGAUACAUACCAUUCGUUUUAGCAUUUGCAUGUGUUUAAAUGGAAUUUAAAGGAAAGAUCUUACAUGCUCCAAGUCAUCUAGCUCACCACUACCUUGAUAUAUCCAUAUAUUACUAACUGGUUACAACACAAAUAGUGAAUCUAUGAAGGAGGAAACCAGAAACACAAGAAACAAAUCAAGAUGAGAAUUAAACAUGAGGAACAGAACAAUAGUAAGAACCUUUCACAGGAAACAACACAUUUGAAAUGGCUGGACUUAAGCUGCUAUUUUUCCCUCCCUGGAGGAAUCCAAGAGGACUCUGUUUUCAAGUCUUAUGAAGACACUUGCCAACCAAAGACAGCUCAAAAUUGUAAUGUGGUUUCUCAUCUGGAUUCUUCUUUCAGAAUAGUUCAUUCAUGCCUGCAAAAUCAUAUCUGCAUGAUUAUAUAACCAUCUUUGAACACUACCUUUCUUCUGAGAAGCAAAUAAAAUAUCAACAGGACUUGUGAUGUAAACAAUCUCACUUUGAACCUUCUAUGUACAAAUAGAUAUGAAACAGCAUGCUUCUCUGUUGUUUUGUUUUCUAAAUCCC
rnacentral:lncRNA from 1 species